rnacentral:rRNA from 1 species
AUGAGCUCGUCGGCGGCCAAGAAGGGGGUGCCGAUGGUGGUGGCGACGAGCAUGGCGGCCGUGGAGGCGCUCAAGGACCAGGCGGGGCUGUGCCGCUGGGACUACGCGCUCCGCUCGGUCUACCACCGCGCCGUCCCGACGUCCCUCACCUCCAACUCCUCCUCUUGCCAGGCCGUGAGCGGCAGCGCGGCCGCCCAAAAAAUCGCCGUCGGGAGGGCUGCCCGGCCAAGGCGGUCCGAGGAGGAGAAGCUGCACAAGGCGUAUCACGUCGUCUGCUGGGGUCCCAACUGA